CCUACGGGAGACAGCAGUAGGGAAUCUUUCACAAUGGGCGAAAGCCUGAUGGAGCAACGCCGCGUUCAGGAUGAAGGCCUUCGGGUUGUAAACUGCUUUUAUAAGCGAGAAAUAUGAUGGUAACUUAUGAAUAAGGAUCGGCUAACUACGUGCCAGCAGCCGCGGUCAUACGUAGGAUCCGAGCAUUAUCCGGAGUGACUGGGUGUAAAGAGUUGCGUAGGUGGCAUAAUAAGUAGCUAGUGAAAUCUGGUGGCUCAACCAUUCAGACUAUUAGCUAAACUGUUAAGCUCGAGACCGUUAGGGGUAACUGGAAUUUCUAGUGUAGGAGUGAAAUCCGUAGAUAUUAGAAGGAACACCAAUAGCGUAGGCAGGUUGCUGGGACGGUUCUGACACUAAGGCACGAAAGCGUAGGGAGCAAACGGGAUUAGAUACCCUUGUAGUC
rnacentral:rRNA from 1 species